rnacentral:rRNA from 1 species
GACGAACGCUGGCGGCGUGCUUAACACAUGCAAGUCGAACGGGAUGAUCUUAAAGCUUGCUUUUAGAGAAUCUAGUGGCAAACGGGUGAGUAACACGUAGACAACCUGCCGAUAGGAUGGGGACAACAUUCCGAAAGGAAUGCUAAUACCGAAUGAAGCGGAGGAGAGGCAUCUCUCUUCCGUGAAAGAUGGCCUCUGAACAUGCUAUCACCUGUCGAUGGGUCUGCGUCUGAUUAGCUGGUUGGUGAGGUAACGGCUCACCAAGGCGACGAUCAGUAGCCGGUCUGAGAGGAUGAACGGCCACAUUGGGACUGAGACACGGCCCAGACUCCUACGGGAGGCAGCAGUGGGGAAUCUUCCGCAAUGGGCGCAAGCCUGACGGAGCAACGCCGCGUGAGUGAAGAAGGUCUUCGGAUCGUAAAGCUCUGUUGAUGGGGACGAACGUGCAAGGGGUGAAUAAU